GGGUUGUGAGGUUAAGCGACUAAGCGUACACGGUGGAUGCCCUGGCAGUCAGAGGCGAUGAAGGACGUGCUAAUCUGCGAAAAGCGUCGGUAAGGUGAUAUGAACCGUUACAGCCGGCGAUGUCCGAAUGGGGAAACCCAGUGCAAUUCGUUGCACUAUCGUUAACUGAAUACAUAGGUUAACGAGGCGAACCGGGGGAACUGAAACAUCUAAGUACCCCGAGGAAAAGAAAUCAACCGAGAUUCCCCCAGUAGCGGCGAGCGAACGGGGAGCAGCCCAGAGUCUGAAUCAGCUUGUGUGUUAGUGGAACGGUCUGGAAAGUCCGACGGUACAGGGUGAUAGUCCCGUACACCAAAAUGCACAGGUUGUGAACUCGAAGAGUAGGGCGGGACACGUGGUAUCCUGUCUGAAUAUGGGGGGACCAUCCUCCAAGGCUAAAUACUCCUGACUGACCGAUAGUGAACCAGUACCGUGAGGGAAAGGCGAAAAGAACCCCGGCGAGGGGAGUGAAAAAGAACCUGAAACCGUGUACGUACAAGCAGUGGGAGCACCUUCGGGUGUGACUGCGUACCUUUUGUAUAAUGGGUCAGCGACUUAUAUUCUGUAGCAAGGUUAACCGUAUAGGGGAGCCGCAGGGAAACCGAGUCUUAACUGGGCGUUAAGUUGCAGGGUAUAGACCCGAAACCCGGUGAUCUAGCCAUGGGCAGGUUGAAGGUUGGGUAACACUAACUGGAGGACCGAACCGACUAAUGUUGAAAAAUUAGCGGAUGACUUGUGGCUGGGGGUGAAAGGCCAAUCAAACCGGGAGAUAGCUGGUUCUCCCCGAAAGCUAUUUAGGUAGCGCCUCGUGAACUCAUCUUCGGGGGUAGAGCACUGUUUCGGCUAGGGGGUCAUCCCGACUUACCAACCCGAUGCAAACUACGAAUACCGAAGAAUGUUAUCACGGGAGACACACGGCGGGUGCUAACGUCCGUCGUGAAGAGGGAAACAACCCAGACCGCCAGCUAAGGUCCCAAAGUCAUGGUUAAGUGGGAAACGAUGUGGGAAGGCACAGACAGCCAGGAUGUUGGCUUAGAAGCAGCCAUCAUUUAAAGAAAGCGUAAUAGCUCACUGGUCGAGUCGGCCUGCGCGGAAGAUGUAACGGGGCUAAACCAUGCACCGAAGCUGCGGCAGCGACACUAUGUGUUGUUGGGUAGGGGAGCGUUCUGUAAGCCUGCGAAGGUGUGCUGUGAGGCAUGCUGGAGGUAUCAGAAGUGCGAAUGCUGACAUAAGUAACGAUAAAGCGGGUGAAAAGCCCGCUCGCCGGAAGACCAAGGGUUCCUGUCCAACGUUAAUCGGGGCAGGGUGAGUCGACCCCUAAGGCGAGGCCGAAAGGCGUAGUCGAUGGGAAACAGGUUAAUAUUCCUGUACUUGGUGUUACUGCGAAGGGGGGACGGAGAAGGCUAUGUUAGCCGGGCGACGGUUGUCCCGGUUUAAGCAUGUAGGCUGGUUAUCCAGGCAAAUCCGGAUAAUCAAGGCUGAGGUGUGAUGACGAGGCACUACGGUGCUGAAGUAACAAAUGCCCUGCUUCCAGGAAAAGCCUCUAAGCAUCAGGUAACAUCAAAUCGUACCCCAAACCGACACAGGUGGUCAGGUAGAGAAUACCAAGGCGCUUGAGAGAACUCGGGUGAAGGAACUAGGCAAAAUGGUGCCGUAACUUCGGGAGAAGGCACGCUGGUGUGUAGGUGAAGUCCCUGCGGAUGGAGCUGAGACCAGUCGAAGAUACCAGCUGGCUGCAACUGUUUAUUAAAAACACAGCACUGUGCAAACACGAAAGUGGACGUAUACGGUGUGACGCCUGCCCGGUGCCGGAAGGUUAAUUGAUGGGGUUAUCCGUAAGGAGAAGCUCUUGAUCGAAGCCCCGGUAAACGGCGGCCGUAACUAUAACGGUCCUAAGGUAGCGAAAUUCCUUGUCGGGUAAGUUCCGACCUGCACGAAUGGCGUAAUGAUGGCCAGGCUGUCUCCACCCGAGACUCAGUGAAAUUGAACUCGCUGUGAAGAUGCAGUGUACCCGCGGCAAGACGGAAAGACCCCGUGAACCUUUACUAUAGCUUGACACUGAACAUUGAGCCUUGAUGUGUAGGAUAGGUGGGAGGCUUUGAAGCGUGGACGCCAGUCUGCGUGGAGCCAACCUUGAAAUACCACCCUUUAAUGUUUGAUGUUCUAACGUUGGCCCCUGACCGGGGUUGCGGACAGUGUCUGGUGGGUAGUUUGACUGGGGCGGUCUCCUCCCAAAGCGUAACGGAGGAGCACGAAGGUUAGCUAAUCCUGGUCGGACAUCAGGAGGUUAGUGCAAUGGCAUAAGCUAGCUUGACUGCGAGCGUGACGGCGCGAGCAGGUGCGAAAGCAGGUCAUAGUGAUCCGGUGGUUCUGAAUGGAAGGGCCAUCGCUCAACGGAUAAAAGGUACUCCGGGGAUAACAGGCUGAUACCGCCCAAGAGUUCAUAUCGACGGCGGUGUUUGGCACCUCGAUGUCGGCUCAUCACAUCCUGGGGCUGAAGUAGGUCCCAAGGGUAUGGCUGUUCGCCAUUUAAAGUGGUACGCGAGCUGGGUUUAGAACGUCGUGAGACAGUUCGGUCCCUAUCUGCCGUGGGCGCUGGAGAAUUGAGGGGGGCUGCUCCUAGUACGAGAGGACCGGAGUGGACGCAUCACUGGUGUUCGGGUUGUCAUGCCAAUGGCACUGCCCGGUAGCUAAAUGCGGAAGAGAUAAGUGCUGAAAGCAUCUAAGCACGAAACUUGCCCCGAGAUGAGUUCUCCCUGAGACUUUAAGUCUCCUGAAGGAACGUUAAAGACGAUGACGUUGAUAGGCCGGGUGUGUAAGCGCAGCGAUGCGUUGAGCUAACCGG
rnacentral:rRNA from 1 species